rnacentral:misc_RNA from 1 species
AACAUCGCGCACCUGCGGGAACCUGCGGAAGGAUCAUUAUUGAAUUGUUUGUUUGAAUUGGCUUAAAACCCCAAUUCAGCAUCCAUAUCCAUAACACCUGUGCACUGUUGGAUGAACUCGACUCUUGUAGUCUUGCGAGUCCACUUUUACACCAAACAAUUUGUAACAAAUGUAGUCUUAUUAUAACAUAAUAAAACUUUUAACAACGGAUCU